UACAGAGGGUGCAAGCGUUGUUCGGAAUUAUUGGGCGUAAAGGGCGCGUAGGCGGUGCGGUAAGUCUGUAGUGAAAUCUCUGGGCUCAACUCAGAGUCUGCUGCAGAAACUGCCGUGCUUGAGUGUGGGAGAGGUGAGUGGAAUUCCCGGUGUAGCGGUGAAAUGCGUAGAUAUCGGGGAGGAACACCUGUGGCGAAAGCGGCUCACUGGACCACAACUGACGCUGAGGCGCGAAAAGCUAGGGGAGCAAACAGG
rnacentral:rRNA from 1 species